rnacentral:rRNA from 1 species
GACGAACGCUGGCGGCGUGCCUAACACAUGCAAGUCAACUUGACUGAAGGAGCAAUCUGACAGUAGAGUGGCGCAAGGGUGCGUAACGCGUAAGUAACUUGCCCAAGGUAAGGAAUAACGUCGAGAAAUCGGCGCUAAUACCUCAUAAUGCAGCGGAUCCGCAUGGAUAUGUUGUUAAAGGUUUACCGCCUUGGGAUAGGCUUGCGUCUGAUUAGCUAGUUGGUGUGGUAACGACACACCAAGGCCUACGAUCAGUAACUGGUCUGAGAGGAUGAUCAGUCACACUGGAACUGAGACACGGUCCAGACUCCUACGGGAGGCAGCAGUGAGGAAUAUUGGGCAAUGCUCGAAAGAGUGACCCAGCAACGCCGCGUGGAGGAUGAAGGUAUUCUAUAUCGUAAACUCCUGUGAGAGUAGACGAAAGACAGAUUAUUAAUCUGGAUGACUGUAUGCUCAGAGGAAG